rnacentral:rRNA from 1 species
GAGUUUGAUCAUGGCUCAGGAUGAACGCUGGCGGCGUGCCUAACACAUGCAAGUCGAACGGAGUUCUUAAGGAAUGCGGCUUCGGCCAAAUGACUUUUGAACUUAGUGGCGGACGGGUGAGUAACGCGUGAGCAACCUGCCUUUCAGAGGGGGAUAACAUUUGGAAACAGAUGCUAAUACCGCAUAAGAUUACAGUACCGCAUGAUACAGUGAUCAAAGGGGCAAUCCGCUGAAAGAUGGGCUCGCGUCCGAUUAGAUAGUUGGUGAGGUAACGGCUCACCAAGUCGACGAUCGGUAGCCGGACUGAGAGGUUGAACGGCCACAUUGGGACUGAGACACGGCCCAGACUCCUACGGGAGGCAGCAGGUGGGGAAUAUUGCACAAUGGGCGAAAGCCUGAUGCAGCAACGCCGCGUGAGGGAAGACGGUUUUCGGAUUGUAAACCUCUGUUUCGGUGACGAACAAAUGACGGUAACCGAGUAGGAAGCCACGGCUAACUACGUGACAGCAGCCGC